rnacentral:rRNA from 1 species
UGAGCAAUCUGCCCUUCUCUUUGGAAUAAGCGUUGGAAACGACGUCUAAUGCCGAAUACGACCUCCUUUCGCAUGAUCGGAGGUGGAAAGCUCCGGCGGAGAAGGAUGAGCUCGCGGCCUAUCAGCUAGUUGGUGUGGGUAAUGGCCCACCAAGGCGACGACGGGUAGCCGGCCUGAGAGGGUGACCAGCCACACUGGGACUGAGACACGGCCCAGACCUCCGUACGGGAGCAG